UGAACGCUGGCGGCGUGCCUAAUACAUGCAAGUCGAGCGAACAGACGAGGAGCUUGCUCCUCUGACGUUAGCGGCGGACGGGUGAGUAACACGUGGAUAACCUACCUAUAAGACUGGGAUAACUUCGGGAAACCGGAGCUAAUACCGUAUAACAUGUUGAACCGCAUGGUUCAACAGUGAAAGACGGUCUUGCUGUCACUUAUAGAUGGAUCCGCGCCGCAUUAGCUAGUUGGUAAGGUAACGGCUUACCAAGGCAACGAUGCGUAGCCGACCUGAGAGGGUGAUCGGCCACACUGGAACUGAGACACGGUCCAGACUCCUACGGGAGGCAGCAGUAGGGAAUCUUCCGCAAAGGGCGAAAGCCUGACGGAGCAACGCCGCGUGAGUGAAGAAGGUCUUCGGAUCGUAAAACUCUGUUAUUAGGGAAGAACAAAUGUGUAAGUAACUAUGCACGUCUUGACGGUACCUAAUCAGAAAGCCACGGCUAACUACGUG
rnacentral:rRNA from 1 species